GGCCGGAUAAGGCGUUCGCGCCGCCAUCCGGCGUUGAUGAGAUGCCUGAUGGCGACGCUUGCGCGUCUUAUCAGGCC
rfam:Enterobacter aerogenes KCTC 2190, complete genome.